ACUGCUCAGUAACACGUGGACAACCUACCCUCAGGUCGGGGAUAAACCCGGGAAACUGGGUAUAAUACCCGAUAGAUCUCGGCUGCUGGAAUGCAUCGAGUUCUAAAGCUCCGGCGUCUGAGGAUGGGUCUGCGGCCUAUCAGGUAGUAGUGGGUGUAGCGUACCUACUAGCCUACGACGGGUACGGGUUGUGAGAGCAAGAGCCCGGAGAUGGAUUCUGAGACACGAAUCCAGGCCCUACGGGGUGCAGCAGGCGCGAAAACUUUACAAUGCCGGCAACGGCGAUAAGGGGACCUCGAGUGCCAGGUUACAAAUCUGGCUGUCGUGAUGCCUAAAAAGCAUUGCAUAGCAAGGGCCGGGCAAGACCGGUGCCAGCCGCCGCGGUAACACCGGCGGCUCGAGUGGUAACCGUUAUUAUUGGGUCUAAAGGGUCUGUAGCCGGCCGGAUAAGUCUCUUGGGAAAUCCAGCAGCUCAACUGUUGGGCUUUCAGGAGAUACUGUCUGGCUCGAGGCCGGGAGAGGUGAGAGGUACUUCAGGGGUAGGGGUGAAAUCUUGUAAUCCUUGAAGGACCACCAGUGGCGAAGGCGUCUCACCAGAACGGACCUGACGGCAAGGGACGAAAGCUAGGGGCACGAACCGGAUUAGAUACCCGGGUAGUCCUAGCCGUAAACGAUACUCGCUAGGUGUCGGCCACGGUGCGACCGUUGUCGGUGCCGUAGGGAAGCCGUGAAGCGAGCCACCUGGGAAGUACGGCCGCAAGGCUGAAACUUAAAGGAAUUGGCGGGGGAGCAC
rnacentral:rRNA from 1 species